rnacentral:misc_RNA from 1 species
ACUCAGAGUACCCUCCAAGAGCAACCUCUCAACUUGGUUCGAUCAUGACUCGUGGUGCAUCUGUUGUUGGACUGGUCGGUGCAGCUGCCUGUUUGCUUUCGACAUUUUGGGCCUUUUAUGGGAGAGGAGAUGGUGAUUUUGGCAGUAUAUCUAAUAGAUGGGAGUUCUUGCUCAGCUAUCUAUCCUCUGAAAGACUUGCUUAUGCCUUCAUCUGGGAUAUUUGUCUCUACAUUAUUUUCCAACCUUGGUUGAUAGGAGAUAACUUGCAAAACAUCCAGGAAGAUAAGGCUGACAUAGUGAGAUAUCUCAGAUAUGUUCCAGUUGUUGGCUUAGUUGCUUACUGCCUUUGUUUGGAUCUUGAAGAUGAAAACUAGCUAAUUUUGUUUCUAGCGGAGACGAGAAAACACUAGUUAGUUAUUUCCAAUCUGUCCUAGCCUUGGUGGACUGUACCUAUUGCCGGUGGGAGGUGGUAGGUA